UUACGGCCAUAUCAUUUUGAAACACCGGUUACCAUAAGUUCACCAAAGUUAAGCAACAAUGAGUCUGGUCAGUAGCUAGAUGGUUGUCUGUUUGGGAAUACCAGGUGCUAUA